UGGGAUAUAGCUCAAUUGGCAGAGCAGGAAACUCUUAAUUUCAAGGUUGCAGGUUCGAUCCCUGCUAUCCCCA
rnacentral:tRNA from 1 species